CCUCCACCCCCACUCGCGCCCCUCUCCUUCGCUCCUGUCCUCCCCCGCCGCGCCGCCAUCUUCCCCGCACUCGUCGCCACCGCUCCCGCGUGCUCUGCCUCCUCCCCUUCCCUCAUCCUCGUGCAGCCGCCGCGGCGCUCCUGCAUCUCCUCCCCUUCCUCUCCCACCACCAUGUUCGCGGAGGCGCUGCAGAUCCCCGCCGACCAGGCCGCGCUGGCGCUCGGGGCGCUCGCCGCCGUGCUUCCCGGUGACGACGACGCCCCCGCAGCGGACGACGCGUGUCGGAGGCCGACCUCCACGCAAACCCUAGCGCAGCUCAAGGCGAAGCUCGUGGCGCCGGGGCCGGGCACGUGGGUGGCGCGGUGCUCACGGAGGCGCUACAGAUCCCCGCCGAGCAGGUCGCGCCGACGCUCGGGGUGCUCGCCGUCGUGCUCCCCGGCGACGAUGACGACCCCGUAACGGACGGAGCUGGCGCCUCCCCGCCCCCAUCUAUCCACUCCGUCCAGAAGCAUUCUAGAAUCAGCAACUGAAAUAGGCAAAGUUAGCAACUAGAAUUUGGGGUGGGAAAUAGGCAAAUACAUGAAGCAUAAUGGGGAGUUUGUCUUCGCGACAAUUAUGGAGCGGGUGCUCUGCUUCGAAUAUAUGCAUGGCGGAAGCCUUGAUAAACACAUUGAAGAUGAAGCUUGCGGGCUUGAGUGGCCCACAUGUUACAAGAUUAUUAAAGGGACUUGUGAGGGAAUAAAUUACCUUCACAACUCCCAGGAAAGGCAUAUUUACCAUCUGAACUUAAAGCCUAGUAAUUUUUUGCUGGAUAAAAGUAUGACCCCCAAGAUUGCAGAUCUUGGUUUGUCAAGACUUGUUGAUUCAAUAGAAACAGAUGAACCAGAUAUGCGCCAGGGAACACUUUGGGACGGUGGCGUGCCGGAAGGGCUGUCUUGCGAGUUGACCGGAGUGGGAGUACACCGGAGAGGCUUCUGAGAUGGCUGAGGGAUCUGUCUAAGGUUUGCUGGUUGAUUUGUCCUGACUGGGGUCUGCUUGUUCUCUUGGCUCCUGGGCUGUGCUGCUCGAAGUUGCUUCACUGGUUUCCUUGCAGUACCGUUGAUCUGGGCAUCCAGGCACCCAAGCUUUUCUUCGCGCGAUGGCAUCAGGCACACGGAGGGAACUCUUCUUCAUCGGUGCGAUGAACAAUGACCGUGAUCUCCGUUCCACACCGUCACCAGCUAGCAAGAUGAAGCAUUCUGUCACGGUUAGGCCGAAGGCUAUGCUUAGCGCUGUUCUUGCUGAAGAUGGUUUACCCGAGGUGAAGUACAAGACCUGCGCAUCUUACCAUGGCCGUGUGGCGGCUACUCCAUCACAGUCGCGUUCAUCUGCAGCGGCAAAGCAUAUGAGGAUCAAUGGCGACCCAGCUGUGGAUGCCAAUGGGCCAUGCAAAAUGCUGCUCCUCGGUGCUUGGAGCAUCUUCAGGCCACCAUGGAUAUUGAAUUUGACUGCCCUCAAAUGCAUAAAAUUAAGACCGAGAUGAAGUACCUGUCGGGCAGUGUCGACGAGAAAGACAGGAAGAUCAGAGAUCUGAAGGCUAAGGUGGAAAAAAGGAAUCUGCGGGUCAACGGGCUUACCAAGGGCUGGGGUCACUGGCAGAUUACCUGCUCGGAUCUGCAUAUGAUCAAGCUUUGCUUCCGACUGGUUCUUCGGUAGUUCGUUUUUUAUCAUAGCUGAAAAUGCAUUGCACCGUGUAUGCUUACUCUCCUAUGAUGCUUUCUACGCUCUUGUGUUAGGUAAGGGGCAUUUUUUGCUUCGAUCAUUUUGAUUCUGAUUAGAUCUUUAUUUCCAUUUGACUUCCUGCUGUAUCUUCAUCUCCAUUUAACUUAUUGAUAUGGUUUCGUUUCA